CGGAGUCUCUGAAGCGUUCUUUCCCGAGUGGACGCGGCCAGGGCGUGGGUCUCUGAGGACGAGGUUUGCAGUCCGGAAAAGUAAAGACACGUACAAGUUAUGGAGACAAACGUGUCCUUACUAAGCUCUUCUAGAAUGGACGGAUACCGCCCUCCCCACACACCUCACAUCUCCAUAGCCACCCUCUCACAUGAGUAGGGUUGUGGCUUCAAAAGAACACCUUAAGCAAGCCAAGCAGAGGUCACUGAAGAAUUUCACACACAGGACAUGGUUUAACGAGUCUGUUUAAAAGGAAUGCUGAAGAGCAACAGACGGCGUCAACACCCUUAUAAAUGUAAGAAAGAGGGAGACAAAGGACCACACAGACUGAAUCCUAGUUACUGCCUCCAGGAUCCUGCUUUGAAUUCCUGCCCUGGCUCCUCUUAGAGAUGUAAGCUGGAAUGCCUGCCUCCAAGUUGCUUUGGUUAGUGUGCAAUCACAGCAAUAGAAAGCAAACUAGAACAACUCCCUCCCUCCCUCCAUCCUUCCCUCAAACUUGUGACUCCCUUCUGCAUCAUCGUGUUUAUUUAUUACAAUUAGAACUAAGUUUGAGCAAGGCAGCUGGAAAAAGAAAGUGCUCUCUCAGAGAGACUUAGGGCCAAUGUGCUGUCUACUUUUAUGUCAGCUUGACACAAGCUAGAGUCAUCUGAAAGGAGCGAACCUCAAUUGAGUAAAAUUGAACCUCCAAAAGAUCCA